rnacentral:rRNA from 1 species
GAGUGGCGGACGGGUGAGUAACACGUAGGUAACCCCCUUAGAAGCGGGGGACAACAUUUGGAAACAGAUGCUAAUACCGCAUAACAGCGUUGUUCGCAUGAACAACGCUUAAAAGAUGGCUUCUCGCUAUCACUUCUGGAUGGACCUGCGGUGCAUUAGCUUGUUGGUGGGGUAACGGCCUACCAAGGCGAUGAUGCAUAGCCGAGUUGAGAGACUGAUCGGCCACAAUGGGACUGAGACACGGCCCAUACUCCUACGGGAGGCAGCAGUAGGGAAUCUUCCACAAUGGGCGCAAGCCUGAUGGAGCAACACCGCGUGAGUGAAGAAGGGUUUCGGCUCGUAAAGCUCUGUUGUUAAAGAAGAACACGUAUGAGAGUAACUGUUCAUACGUUGACGGUAUUUAACCAGAAAGUCACGGCUAACUACGUGCCAGCAGCCGCGGUAAUACGUAGGUGGCAAGCGUUAUCCGGAUUUAUUGGGCGUAAAGAGAGUGCAGGCGGUUUUCUAAGUCUGAUGUGAAAGCCUUCGGCUUAACCGGAGAAGUGCAUCGGAAACUGGAUAACUUGAGUGCAGAAGAG